rnacentral:rRNA from 1 species
UUAUGUGAUCGUCUCUCGCAUAUCAAUAAGCGGAGGAAAAGAAACUAACAAGGAUUCCCCUAGUAACGGCGAGUGAAGCGGGAAGAGCUCAAAUUUGAAAUCUUAAAGGGUUUCCCUUUACGAAUUGUAGUUUAAAGAAGUGUUUUCUGUUGAGGUUUUGGUAAAAGUUCUUUGGAAUAGGACAUCAUAGAGGGUGAGAAUCCCGUAUUUGACCUUUACUUUCAACUUUGUGAUACACUUUCAAAGAGUCGGAUUGUUUGGGAAUGCAGUCCGAAAUGGGUGGUAAAUUUCAUCUAAAGCUAAAUAUUGGCGAGAGACCGAUAGCGAACAAGUACCGUGAGGGAAAGAUGAAAAGAACUUUGAAAAGAGAGUUAAACAGUACGUGAGAUUGUCAAAAGGGAAGCGUUUGACACCAGUGUUGUUUUUCUGAAAAUCAAUUAAAGAACUGUUUAUGCUAAGCUUGUUUAGACUUUAUCAGCUAUCUGCUUAGUUUUGAGCUUUUCUUUAAUGCACUUUUCAGUUAACAAGUCAACAUCAAUUUCUUUUGCUGUAAAAAAGCUUGAGGAAGGUGGCUUGAGAUUCGUCUUAAGUGUUUAUAGCCUCUUGCCUAUGCAGUCGGAGAGAUUGAGGUCUGCAGCGUAGAUCCUUCGGGGCUAAAUGCAUUUGUGCUAAGUUAUAGCAUUUUAUAGACAACUUGUUGACUAUGAUUUGUCUUGUAGCUUACUCGCUUAUGUUAUUUUACCUACGCUUAGGAUGUUGAGUAGCGACAUACGCAC